GUGCUUCCCCAUAGUCUCCCCUGUGUGCUGGCAGUCUUGGGUUUCUCCGGGGCAAAGCAGAACUUAGAAAAUCUUCACAAGUAUAAUCAUUUUAGCUUCACGGCUGGAAAAUUCAAUGAAUUAUUUCUGUGCUUUCUGGGA